UACGUAGGGUCCGAGCGUUGUCCGGAAUUAUUGGGCGUAAAGAGCUCGUAGGCGGUUUGUUGCGUCGGCUGUGAAAUCCCGAGGCUCAACCUCGGGUCUGCAGUCGAUACGAGCAAACUAGAGUGUUGCAGGGGAGACUGGAAUUCCUGGUGUAGCGGUGAAAUGCGCAGAUAUCAGGAGGGAACACCCGGUGGCGAAGGCGGGGUCUCUGGGCAACAACUGACGC
rnacentral:rRNA from 1 species